CUUGCGGAACAUCUGCGUAUGGGUAUCAACACUGGGCAAAGGACGAUUGAUCGGAAUGCAAAUCCCCUAGCGAACAGCGCGGAGCGCCGUUCCGGGCUUGUCAAUUUCGAAAGCAUUUUGAGAUUUUCUUUAAUUAUUUAAAACAACCAUUACAACACAAUCAACACUGAAGAUAAGACAUGAAACCAAACGAAGAGCUGGAAAAAGUGGGGGGAAAGCGUAAAGAUUUGCUAAAAGAAGGGGGCAAAGACGUGACGUUUGCGACAAGAGACUGAAAAAACAUUCAGAAACCCGAAAAACAGUUCAUUUGUUUAGGUAAUAGGACGGUUUUGAGUGGAAUUUGGAUGAACCAUGCACGAGUAUGUUUUUAAAGAUCACCAAAAUAGCACGAGUCCAAAGGACGAGUGCUAUUUGAAGUCUC